UAUAGGAGGUCCAGCCUGCCCAGUGACGACAAGUUUAACGGCCGCGGUAUCCUGACCGUGCGAAGGUAGCGCAAUCACUUGUCUUUUAAAUAGAGACCUGUAUGAAUGGCCAAACGAGGGCUUAACUGUCUCCCCUUUCAAGUCAGUGAAAUUGAUCUACCCGUGCAGAAGCGGGUAUAAUAAUACAAGACGAGAAGACCCUUUGGAGCUUAAGGUACAAAACUCAACCCAUACAACAACCUAACUUAAACCCUGAAACUUCGUGGGGUGUGAUAUUUUACCUUCGGUUGGGGCGACCACGGAGGAAAAAAAAGCCUCCCAGUGGACCGGGACAAACCUCCUAAAUCUAAGAGAGACAUCUCUAAGCCGCAGAACAUCUGACCAAACACGAUCCGGUAACAAAACCGAUCAACGAACCAAGUUACCCUAGGGAUAACAGCGCAAUCCUCUCCCAGAGUCCAUAUCGACGAGGGGGUUUACGACCUCGAUGUUGGAUCAGGACAUCCUAAUGGUGCAGCCGCUAUUAAGGGUUCGUUUGUUCAACGAUUAAAGUCCUACGUGA
rnacentral:rRNA from 1 species